AUUGAACGCUGGCGGCAUGCUUUACACAUGCAAGUCGAACGGUAACAGGCCGCAAGGUGCUGACGAGUGGCGAACGGGUGAGUAAUGCAUCGGAACGUGCCCAGUCGUGGGGGAUAACGCAGCGAAAGCUGUGCUAAUACCGCAUACGAUCUAUGGAUGAAAGCGGGGGACCGUAAGGCCUCGCGCGAUUGGAGCGGCCGAUGUCAGAUUAGGUAGUUGGUGGGGUAAAGGCUCACCAAGCCAACGAUCUGUAGCUGGUCUGAGAGGACGACCAGCCACACUGGGACUGAGACACGGCCCAGACUCCUACGGGAGGCAGCAGUGGGGAAUUUUGGACAAUGGGCGCAAGCCUGAUCCAGCAAUGCCGCGUGCAGGAAGAAGGCCUUCGGGUUGUAAACUGCUUUUGUACGGAGCGAAAGGGCUCCCUCUAAUACAGGGGGCUCAUGACGGUACCGUAAGAAUAAGCACCGGCUAACUCCGUGCCAGCCGCCGCCGUAA
rnacentral:rRNA from 1 species